rnacentral:lncRNA from 1 species
CCGAUACUAGGCAUGCAUGUGCAUACGGCAAAGAGAGUAACCCAAUAGUGAGGAAGAAAUUGAUGCUGCAGGAGAGAGGGAAUAAUUGCCGAAGCAAAGAUCUUGAGGUACUGAGAAAGGAUGACCGUAAUUUCCUUAAUGCUGCGAUUCUGGUCCACCAAGAAGGGGAUGUGUUUCAGCCUGCUUCCACUGAGGGACUGGAGGCUCCUUGAGCAAAAUUAUCUACCUCUUCACCUUUGGAUCUUUCACAGUUCCCAGUUCGGUGUACUACAGAU